rnacentral:rRNA from 1 species
GUGGGGAAUUUUGGACAAUGGGGGCAACCCUGAUCCAGCAAUGCCGCGUGUGUGAAGAAGGCCUUCGGGUUGUAAAGCACUUUUGGCGGGAACGAAACGGUUUGGGCUAAUACCCUGGGCUAAUGACGGUACCCGCAGAAUAAGCACCGGCUAACUACGUGCCAGCAGCCGCGGUAAUACGUAGGGUGCAAGCGUUAAUCGGAAUUACUGGGCGUAAAGCGUGCGCAGGCGGUUGUGCAAGACAGAUGUGAAAUCCCCGGGCUCAACCUGGGAAUUGCAUUUGUGACUGCACGGCUAGAGUGUGUCAGAGGGGGGUAGAAUUCCACGUGUAGCAGUGAAAUGCGUAGAUAUGUGGAGGAAUACCGAUGGCGAAGGCAGCCCCCUGGGAUAACACUGACGCUCAUGCACGAAAGCGUGGGGAGCAAACAGG